ACAUUGUAGAACACCUUACCUAGUUAUUUUACACCUGUAACAAUAUGAACUUGAACAUUGUCAAGACUGGAGACUGGACUCAAACAUGUUUUUGUUUGUUUGUUUCCCCCCAGAUUGAUCUUCAUGAAGAUCGUCAAAUAGUAAGGUGUCAUGAUUUAAUUGUGGGUGGCCGCCGUGUCCCCACUCUUUCUUGGCCGCUGUGCCUACAUCUCUCUGCAUUGUCCAACAUGGCCACGUUUUUUCUGUUCUCCUGCUUUCCAUCUGUCAAAUAGCUGAGGGUUGUACAUGGAGCAUUUGCCACAGGUUGGUUUUGUAUGUUCCUGUCCACCUUAUUGGGUGGUCUGAAAUCUGGUCCUCGUUGGUUAUAUUUUUGUGGAACUGCUGAGUGAUUUGAAAGAGUGAGGUGACUGAUGGAGUGUUUGAGAUUCUCUCUCUGAAUGAAUGGGUUGUGUGUGACUGAGAUGCCUGGAUUGAAUAGUUCAGAUGGUCUGAGAAUAUGAUUAUGUUCAGCAGUUCACAUUAAAGUAGAUAUGGUGUCUUGAAGGGCUUAGAUGCUUGAUAAGUUAUAAUGCACUAACAUUUCCUUUUUAGGUCCGUCUACAAAGGGUGAGUCCAUAUUUUUUCAUUUCUUCUCUGGGGGCUACUGUCUUGGCCUCCAUGUGUGCUAGGGUUUGCAGAGUAGGGGAAUAAAACAAAAGAAAACUUGUGCGUUGUAUUUUUUGCAAGUGAAGGUACUUAGGUGUCGGCAACUGACUUGCUAGUCUAGCUGCCGACAGCUAACUACGAAUCACACUGACAAUUCACAUGCAACGGUAAGAACACGCCUCUCUAUGGAGGCGCUUUCUUGCCUUGCCGCUGUACCCUUAAACACUUUUUCUUUCCAACUGUUUCUUAGGACGGUAAGUGACACGCAGGCCGCGGGCCACAUCGCUCUUCCGGCCACCGUGUCGAUCUGUCCUGGCCCUCCUCGUGCCUUUCCUCACUUUAAUGAGAACAUGUCUCUAAAAGGUAAAAAAAAAUAUCAACUUGAACUGUUUUCUUUAGCAUUAAAAUAUAGUGAUGUUGGAGGACCAGAUCUUUAAUGAGGUUUAAAUGGAUGUUGGUGUACAGUUAAAGUUAGAUGGUAGGAAUAAAGUUAAUGUUGUGCCUUGUGAACUCUGUCACAAGGCUUAGACUUCUUGGCCGCUGUGCCUUAUUUUUAUUUCUUUUUCUCUUUUCCAUCGUGGCCAUUAAUUUACCGUUAGCCCUAGCACGUUAAAAUGGAUCCUGGUGAUCUACUAACACAGUACCUGGCUUUGGAUGGCAGCUUUGCCAUUGCCUUUUUAUGGCCAUACGUCCUUUAAUGCAAGUAGGCCAUGAUCGCUAACUGUGCCCGCGCCUUCGUGGUCUACUUGUGUCAUUGUACGUCUGGCCUUGCGCGUAUAGUCAUUUUACAUAGACAAACAUGGGUGCCUUCCGCGUCCAUGCACAGUAAGUGAACUAACCUGUACUUUCCUUCUAGCAUCAGUCAAGAGGAGCACCGACAUCCCUGCAUGUCCAACUUAAUUAGAUCGCGUUUUAGUUCAGGUAAAAUUUCAAAUGUUAAGUGCAGUUUUUCUUUUUAGCUUGGCCGCUGUGCCAAUACUAUACCUGCUCUGAUCUCUCUCUCGCUCUCUCUCUCUCUGUCUCAGUCUCUCUCUGUCUCUCUCUGUCUCUGUGUGUGUGUGUGCCAAUUAGACAACAUUCAAAUUGUUUCAAAAACAGGUAAAAUGUUUACCUUUCAGGUAAGUAUUAAAGGCCUUUGCCGCAUGAUCUUUGUGGGUAAAUCGUGUCCACUUAAUUUAUAAAGUUAGUUUGCAUCUAAACAUUUACAAUGCCUGACACAAUGGCAUUACAAUAAUCUAAUUUUUUUGUUUAGCUUUACUGAGUGCAAAGGCCUUUAUUUACACACUGACACAUGCCAUGACUGUUGUCAGGCAUGUGUCACUGUCUCUGUCUGUCUUGAUGUUCUGUGUGUCUUUGUCGGUCUCUUGUGUCUGGUCUGUCUCGUGUCUGGUCCGCUUGUCUGUCCUUUGUCUGGUGUCUCUGUCUUGCUGUCUGUCUGUCUUGUGUGUCUGGUAUCCGUCUGUCUGUCCUGUGUUGGAUUUAGUCACUUUUUUAGUCUCAACUUAAAUGGAUGAUUUUAAAGUUGAUUAGUCUCGAGGCGUCUGAUUUCUGCAGGAAAUGAUGGUACUUUAUUUUGAAAUGGCUUUAAUUUAAAAAUGUAAUUUUGGUCUUGAAUCAUAGUUGCAACUUGGACUGUUGACAAACGUGGAAGCUGAUGAAUCAUGUAGUAAAAGCGUGAAAGUUUACUGUAGCUUGUUUAAAGUGCUGUAAAAACGUAGUAAUUGAUUAUGAUGAGCUAGACCAGGUCUUUAUUCUCAACUGGUAAUUGCUUUGAUAAGAUUUGAUAAGAACUGGUUCCUGACUUGAUUAUGAAGCUAAACUUUUGAUUUAUAUGCAAGUGUAGUCGCAUUAGGUGUAGGUGUUAUUCAGCCCAUGGAUAAUGUAAUGAUAUACUUUAAAUCUGGCAUUUGUUGGCACAUUUUUAAUAUCCAUUUAAGUCUUAAACUCACACACUGCCAUCAGCCUCUGUAGUCGCUAACUGAAAUCGCAUUCAAUGUUAAUGCUGACUUGUCUCACUCGCCAAGUUUAUUUCCCUCUAAAGGAGUUGAACCUUUUUGUGUUCAUAGUCUUUGCGCGUCAUGUUGGGAGGCCUCCCAGCAGGGGAUCUUUAUCUUCCCCUGCUAAACUAUGCGUUACUCGCCUUAGGGAUGCAGGGCUAUCCUGCAUAGUUUCUUUCAUAAAUUAGAUUGUAGGUUUCAGGAUUAGAGCGCGUUAAUUUUCUUUAGGAGGACACAAACCUGGCAGAGAGACAACUCGGAUUGUUUAAGUGAAAGUUGCGCCACAUGUUCGAGCUUUUUAUCUUUCGAUACGACUUGAAAUAAAACUUUUAUUCUGUGGGCUGAAUUCAGACAGAAAUCAGACAGAAUUUGGCUUCAUGUUAAAGACUGUUGUGCAAGUACCCUCUUGUGGCAGGAGUGAGCAGCUGCAGCUUUUUAAUUUAUUUUUCGUUGUUUGAUUUGUUUCUUGGAUUGACUUGGUGUCUGGAGCUUUGUGGUUAACAGUGAUCAUGUAAACGUGUAAACACGAGUGGUCUUUUGCCUCUUAUUUGUGAAGCUGGCAGCUGGUUGAAACGAUAGGACUUUAUGGCUUGCCCAAAGUGGGAUUUUUGAUAGAGCAUAGGGUUAACACCUCACCAUACACUAGCUAUUUCAGCGAACAAGUGUCUGUAGUCUGUUAUUACCCAUGACUUUCUUUCAAAUUUCACAAUUUAGGCAGCUUGUAGAGUCUUUAGGAAGAUGCUUAAUCCCAAUGUCUUGGUUGGUUGCAUGAGAAACUGCUAUCUCUUAGAUGUGUAGGCGAAGUUCCUCCUCUGAUUUUUGUAGACUUGCCCUAAAGUUUCUCUCUGCUUUAACUCUUGUUGAGCUAUGCAUUAAAUGAUUCCUCCGACUUGUCUCCAUAUCAAUUUUUUUCUCCCUGCAGCCUUCCACCACCCACUGCUGCUGUUGCAUCUGCUAAAGGUAGCCGUAUCCUGAUUCACUGCGUCUUCAUGUGUUGGGUAAGAAGUGUCAUUAGAUUACUAACAAUGUAAACACCUUUUAAAUGCUUGAUCUAAUUUACCCAAAUGGUUCAUCAGUUUAGGACAAAGAAAAAAAUCAUUGAGUUUGACAUUGUUGGGGUCAGUAACCUGACCUCUAAAUGUUUGGGAAACCAUGCAAAAGAUCGCAAGCUCUCUGCAUGACCCAACAGCAUCCAUGUUUGAGUUAUUUAAUUGCUCAAUUUUUAAAUCAGUCAAGAUUUUAUGAACUGGGUCUUCUUCACACAACAGAGAACAAGGUAAAUUGAGUCGACUCGUAACAUGGUAAGGCUUUUCGUCCUUCCCCUUCUUGUCUGUGUGUGAGGAAAUCUGGCCACGGAUCCUGACUGAGUGGCAUACCAUGGCUGUGCAGUUUCCAAAAUCAGACAAGGAUCCAUCUGAUUUUGUGACUCCACCUGAUCGUGAUAUGCAUUUAUCUUCCUCCUAAACAAAGGAUUGGAGUGGACAGGUUUGUAGUGUAAAUCACAUCACACGUAGAUGGUGAAGCAUUUGUUUAAAUUGGAAUCAAGCAUUUUCAGGUGUCUGCUUUGUCAAUACUCUGGUGCCACGUCUUGCUAAACACACGAGAAGCUCUGAAUUGUGAAACUGCUGCCUCUUGCAGAUGUUACAACAGCAAUGGCUGUUGAAAGGCUGCAGGGAGAGAAAAUGAGAUCUGAGGACAGGAAAGUGGAAUUGAUUUCAUGCUUAGCAAAAUGAGGGUUUCAGCAGAGGACCUUUUUGUGGCGAGGCUACAGAAUCAGAAGGAACGUUUGUCUGGGCAACUGGGAGAUUUUCAGUUUUUCAUGCAGCCGACCAAGACAUUGGGGUUAGCAUCAUCCCAAAUGGCUGGCAAAGAUUGCUUGUAACUGUCAGUGUAGGACAGGAAAGGCAGGUAUAGGUUAGGGAGGGCAUCCAUCGGUGAGCUCUGACUGGAUGUGAGGACCUGUCACAAUUGACCAGAGAUGAAGGCUGCAGCACAUUCCUGAUCAGAGGACUCCAUGUUGGACACCACGACCUGGAGAAGUCUCGUCCUGGAUGGCUGCGGUGAUGACCUAGCCCAAGAUGAACCGACCAUUCUCGACGAGGACUUCGCCCCAAGAUGAACCGGCCUUUUCUGCCUCUUUUCCACGGGAUGUCUUCAGAUGUUGGACCUUGCCAAACUGUACACGCCUCAAUGGCUGCUACGUCACUCUGCCCAACAGGACAUGGUCAUCGAGGUUUUUCUUU